CAUAGGUUAAUGAGGCGAACCGGGGGAACUGAAACAUCUAAGUACCCCGAGGAAAAGAAAUCAACCGAGAUUCCCCCAGUAGCGGCGAGCGAACGGGGAGCAGCCCAGAGCCUGAAUCAGUGUGUGUGUUAGUGGAAGCGUCUGGAAAGGCGCGCGAUACAGGGUGACAGCCCCGUACACAAAAAUGCACAUGCUGUGAGCUCGAUGAGUAGGGCGGGACACGUGGUAUCCUGUCUGAAUAUGGGGGGACCAUCCUCCAAGGCUAAAUACUCCUGACUGACCGAUAGUGAACCAGUACCGUGAGGGAAAGGCGAAAAGAACCCCGGCGAGGGGAGUGAAAAAGAACCUGAAACCGUGUACGUACAAGCAGUGGGAGCACGCUUAGGCGUGUGACUGCGUACCUUUUGUAUAAUGGGUCAGCGACUUAUAUUCUGUAGCAAGGUUAACCGAAUAGGGGAGCCGAAGGGAAACCGAGUCUUAACUGGGCGUUAAGUUGCAGGGUAUAGACCCGAAACCCGGUGAUCUAGCCAUGGGCAGGUUGAAGGUUGGGUAACACUAACUGGAGGACCGAACCGACUAAUGUUGAAAAAUUAGCGGAUGACUUGUGGCUGGGGGUGAAAGGCCAAUCAAACCGGGAGAUAGCUGGUUCUCCCCGAAAGCUAUUUAGGUAGCGCCUCGUGAAUUCAUCUCCGGGGGUAGAGCACUGUUUCGGCAAGGGGGUCAUCCCGACUUACCAACCCGAUGCAAACUGCGAAUACCGGAGAAUGUUAUCACGGGAGACACACGGCGGGUGCUAACGUCCGUCGUGAAGAGGGAAACAACCCAGACCGCCAGCUAAGGUCCCAAAGUCAUGGUUAAGUGGGAAACGAUGUGGGAAGGCCCAGACAGCCAGGAUGUUGGCUUAGAAGCAGCCAUCAUUUAAAGAAAGCGUAAUAGCUCACUGGUCGAGUCGGCCUGCGCGGAAGAUGUAACGGGGCUAAACCAUGCACCGAAGCUGCGGCAGCGACGCUUAUGCGUUGUUGGGUAGGGGAGCGUUCUGUAAGCCUGUGAAGGUGUGCUGUGAGGCAUGCUGGAGGUAUCAGAAGUGCGAAUGCUGACAUAAGUAACGAUAAAGCGGGUG
rnacentral:rRNA from 1 species